UACGUAGGGAGCAAGCGUUGUCCGGAAUCAUUGGGCGUAAAGCGCGCGUAGGUGGCCCCAUAAGUCCGCUGUGAAAGUCAAAGGCUCAACCUUUGAAAGCCGGUGGAUACUGUGGGACUAGAGUACGGAAGAGGCGAGUGGAAUUCCUGGUGUAGCGGUGAAAUGCGCAGAUAUCAGGAGGAACACCGGUGGCGAAGGCGGUUCUCUGGGCAUGUCCUGACGCUGAGGAGCGAAAGUGUGGGGAGCGAACAGG
rnacentral:rRNA from 1 species